UACAGAGGGGGCAAGCGUUGUUCGGAAUUACUGGGCGUAAAGGGUGCGUAGGCGGGUCUUUAAGUCAGGGGUGAAAUCCUGGAGCUCAACUCCAGAACUGCCUUUGAUACUGAGGAUCUUGAGUACGGGAGAGGUGAGUGGAACUGCGAGUGUAGAGGUGAAAUUCGUAGAUAUUCGCAAGAACACCAGUGGCGAAGGCGGCUCACUGGCCCGUAACUGACGCUGAGGCGCGAAAGCGUGGGGAGCAAACAGG
rnacentral:rRNA from 1 species